UUGAAGAGUUUGAUCAUGGCUCAGAUUGAACGCUGGCGGCAGGCCUAACACAUGCAAGUCGAACGGUAACAGGAAGCAGCUUGCUGCUUCGCUGACGAGUGGCGGACGGGUGAGUAAUGUCUGGGAAACUGCCUGAUGGAGGGGGAUAACUACUGGAAACGGUAGCUAAUACCGCAUAACGUCGCAAGACCAAAGAGGGGGACCCUCGGGCCUCUUGCCAUCGGAUGUGCCCAGAUGGGAUUAGCUUGUUGGUGGGGUAACGGCUCACCAAGGCGACGAUCCCUAGCUGGUCUGAGAGGAUGACCAGCCACACUGGAACUGAGACACGGUCC
rnacentral:rRNA from 1 species